rnacentral:rRNA from 1 species
UACGGAGGGAGCUAGCGUUGUUCGGAAUUACUGGGCGUAAAGCGCGCGUAGGCGGCUUUGUAAGUUAGAGGUGAAAGCCCGGGGCUCAACCCCGGAAUUGCCUUUAAGACUGCAUCGCUUGAAUCCGGGAGAGGUGAGUGGAAUUCCGAGUGUAGAGGUGAAAUUCGUAGAUAUUCGGAAGAACACCAGUGGCGAAGGCGGCUCACUGGACCGGCAUUGACGCUGAGGUGCGAAAGCGUGGGGAGCGAUCCGG